rnacentral:sRNA from 2 species
ACCUAGCCCCGAUAGAAGUGGAAAUCCUUUUGUGGCGGUCCCGAUAGCUAUCGGGAGCCAUAAAAGAUUGAAACGGAUAGCGGGAUUAGCU